AACGCGAAGAACCUUACCCAGACUUGACAUGCAGUGGACGACGGUGGAGACAUCGUUUCCCUUCGGGGCCGCUGCACAGGUGCUGCAUGGCUGUCGUCAGCUCGUGCCGUGAGGUGUUGGGUUAAGUCCCGCAACGAGCGCAACCCUUAUCAUUAGUUGCCAACAUUUAAGGUGGGAACUCUAAUGAGACUGCCUGGGUUAACCAGGAGGAAGGUGAGGAUGACGUCAAGUCCGCAUGGCCCUUAUGUCUGGGGCUACACACGUGCUACAAUGGUCGGUACAGAAGGCAGCGAAACCGCGAGGUGAAGCAAAUCCCAAAAGCCGAUCUCAGUUCAGAUUGUAGUCUGCAACUCGACUACAUGAAGAUGGAAUUGCUAGUAAUGGCGUAUCAGCAUUAACGCCGUGAAUACGUUCCCGGCCUUGUACACACCGCACGA
rnacentral:rRNA from 1 species